CUGGUGGACAUUGCACCCGGGGAAGGAACGGCUGCGCCGAAGUUAUUUAUUCUGAGGACCCUUCCCCCAGGAAGUCACCUGAGCAGUCCUGAGCUCCAGCUGAGGGCGGGGGACAGAUUCCGGGUUCGGGCUCGGGAUCCGGACUCCGCGGGUCGGAAAGGUGCAGCGCAGCGCACUGGCUGGGUUCCAGCCACCCCGCUGACCAAAGGGCAGUCGCCACAGCAGACCGGGUCUGCGGCUCGUCGGCCCGCACUGCGGACAGCAGUUCGUCCCUUGAGAUUCAGACUCUUCGCAGCGACCCUGUCUGGGACCGAUCAGUCAGUCCUGAGGAUGCGACCAGCUGGGUCCACGCCAAGACAGGUUUUUACUUUCAUUUCCCCGGCGCGCUCUUUCGACUGCCGGGGAGGUCAAGGACAGCUGGGCGCCGGUCCGCAGCCAGGGAAGGUCCCGUGGUCUGGACUCGUUCCUUCCAGUUCCCACCAGCCCUGGAGUGUUCGACCUGCAGAGGACUCUUCAGCUGUACCUCGUGGCUUCCUCGCUGUGUCUUCCAGGGGAGCCCUGAUUCCAUGGGGGAGGAGGGAUCGAGGCGAUCGGGGUAGGGAUGGGGACUGAGCUUUCACUCCUGCAGGACCGCGAAGCGUGCUCUUGGCGGGGCAGACUUCUCUUUGAGCUGCUAGAAGCUUCAACAAGUAAACCCAACCCAGGAGUGGAGACUCUGCCGGGCUCCAGUGCCUGCGCCAGCAGCGUAGAGACCUGGCCAAGAAUUCCCACCUGAGAGCCUUGCUACGCGCUUAUCAGCCCAGGUGCGCCUUGUAGUUCUGGCACUUAGAGGUCUGAUGCUUGAGAACUCCGUAAAUCCUUUCUUUAAGCAAAGCCCUGGGUUGGCAGCUGGGGAUUUGGCUAGAACAGCCACACCUCGGAAAAUGUGUGUGUGUGUGUGUGUGUGUGUGUAUACACACGCGCGCGCCCACGUGCGUCCGCGACAAGGGCCAGAGGGUACCCCAAAGUGUGGUGGAGUAUAAGUUGAAAAAAAGAUAUAAAGUUUGCCAAAUGUUGGCAUCUGUUUUUUCCCCGUGGUACCUCGUGUUUGUUUACUUACUGGUUAAAGGGGAAAAUAAAUGACUAGGAUGCUUUCUCGGCUAAACA
rnacentral:lncRNA from 1 species